UAAGCAGAAGCUAAUAAACCAAUAGCACCUGACUGUUACUCAGGAGAGAGUUAAUAAACCUGCUUAA
rnacentral:tRNA from 1 species